UAGGAUAGCCCAGUUGGUAGAGCACAAGACUAUUAAUCUCAGGGUUGUGGGUUUGAGCCCUACAUUGGGCAAAA